UACGGGGGGGGCAAGCGUUGUUCGGAAUUACUGGGCGUAAAGGGCGCGUAGGCGGUUCGACAAGUCAGCUGUGAAAACCAUGGGCUUAACUCAUGGCCUGCAGUUGAGACUGUCGGGCUGGAGUGUGGGAGAGGAGAGUGGAAUUCCUGGUGUAGCGGUGAAAUGCGUAGAUAUCAGGAGGAACACCGGUGGCGAAGGCGGCUCUCUGGACCACAACUGACGCUGAGGCGACGAAAGCUAGGGGAGCAAACAGG
rnacentral:rRNA from 1 species